UAAAUCAUCAAUAUCACCACAAUCACAAUCAACUCAUCUGGAGCACAUAUGGAAUAAUCAAGUAAACAUAUAUGCUACUCAUGAAUAUGCUCGACAGAUCAUAAUGCUGGAACAUACAAAUCGGGUGUCAAUAUGCUGAAACAUUGAUAAAUAGCUAUCGGAAGGUGGGUCUUACACCCCAGGCGAAACACAACAACUCCCUACUGCCAUAUGCAUGCAUAGAAUAUGACACCACACCAAUAUGUAAAUCAGGGUGUCAAUAUGCGAAGUCAUCACUAGACAGCUGUCGG
rnacentral:lncRNA from 1 species